rnacentral:rRNA from 1 species
AUUGAACGCUGGCGGCAGGCUUAACACAUGCAAGUCGAGCGGGGGAAGGUAGCUUGCUACCGGACCUAGCGGCGGACGGGUGAGUAAUGCUUAGGAAUCUGCCUAUUAGUGGGGGACAACAUCUCGAAAGGGAUGCUAAUACCGCAUACGUCCUACGGGAGAAAGCAGGGGAUCUUCGGACCUUGCGCUAAUAGAUGAGCCUAAGUCGGAUUAGCUAGUUGGUGGGGUAAAGGCCUACCAAGGCGACGAUCUGUAGCGGGUCUGAGAGGAUGAACCGCCACACUGGGACUGAGACACGGCCCAGACUCCUACGGGAGGCGGCAGUGGGGAAUAUUGGACAAUGGGGGGAACCCUGAUCCAGCCAUGCCGCGUGUGUGAAGAAGGCCUUAUGGUUGUAAAGCACUUUAAGCGAGGAGGAGGCUACUUUAGUUAAUACCUAGAGAUAGUGGACGUUACUCGCAGAAUAAGCACCGGCUAACUCUGUGCCAGCCGCCGCCGUAACAC